rnacentral:pre_miRNA from 1 species
AGACGAUGAGAUACAGCCAAGGAUGACUUGCCGGAUUGGAUUCUGGGCCAUUUCGUUUCCGGCAAGUAAUUUCUGGCUAUAUCUCGGCCUCG